rnacentral:tRNA from 1 species
GCGCCGAUAGUCCAGCCUGGUUAAGAUCCUGGCCUUCCAAGCCAGUGACGUGGGUUCAAAUCCCGCUCGGCGCA